GAGAGUUAUACGAGGUAAAUUUUAGAAUAAAACCAACCAACUGUUCCAAGCCUGACUAUUCCAUUUUGGGAGAUGAAUGUCACAUCCAAGUGUCUCCUAGCCUGCAUUGUAGAACUCAGAUAAACGUUACAGAUAAGACAGUCAGUGUUCAUUCAGGACUUCAGUGUGGGCCAAUAAUGCUGGCGCUUUCUUUACGUUAUGGUUAUAGUGGACUGUCCCCUCUGCGCUUUAGUGCCAACGAGAAUAAGUACAAAGAGAAUAAGACUAACAGCCUGUCAAAAUUCAUCAAUCUUGAAAGAACCGAUCAAGCGAGUCAAAGGCGACAUGGGCAUAAUAACAGAAAAGAACAUAAACAA